AACGCAUAUGGCACCUGCUAGUCUUACUAGGAGGUAUGCCUGUUUGAGAAUCGUCCUUUUCAUCCUCUUUAUCCAUUGAGGGACAUGGGUUGUCAUCAGUGACUGCCUGGAAUGCGGCGUGGUUGUGUUGUGAUAAGCACUGAUCGACCAAUCAUCUCUUUUGUCAGCGAUCUCAAAUCAGGCAGGAUGACCCGCUGAACUUAA
rnacentral:misc_RNA from 1 species